rnacentral:rRNA from 1 species
GACGAACGCUGGCGGCGUGCUUAACACAUGCAAGUCGAGCGGUAAGGCCCUUUCGGGGGUACACGAGCGGCGAACGGGUGAGUAACACGUGGGUGACCUGCCCUCAGCUCUGGGAUAAGCCUGGGAAACUGGGUCUAAUACUGGAUAUGACUCCACGGUGCAUGUCGUGGGGUGGAAAGCCUUGUGCGGCUGAGGAUGGGCCCGCGGCCUAUCAGCUUGUUGGUGGGGUGANGGCCUACCAAGGCGACGACGGGUAGCCGGCCUGAGAGGGCGACCGGCCACACUGGGACUGAGACACGGCCCAGACUCCUACGGGAGCAGCAGUGGGGAAUCUUGCGCAAUGGGCGAAAGCCUGACGCAGCGACGCCGCGUGAGGGAUGACGGCCU